rnacentral:rRNA from 1 species
GAUGAACGCUGGCGGUAUGCUUUACACAUGCAAGUCGAACGAACCUUCGGGUUAGUGGCGGACGGGUGAGUAACGCGUGGGAAUCUGCCCUCAGGAGGGGGAUAACGGUUGGAAACGGCCGCUAAUACCCCAUAUGCCGCGAGGUGAAAUGAAUUUCGCCUGAGGAUGAGCUCGCGUCUGAUUAGCUAGUUGGUGUAGGUAAUGGCUCACCAAGGCAUCGAUCAGUAGCUGGUCUGAGAGGAUGAUCAGUCACACUGGAACUGAGACACGGUCCAGACUCCUACGGGAGGCAGCAGUGAGGAAUUUUCCGCAAUGGGCGAAAGCCUGACGGAGCAAUACCGCGUGAAGGAUUAAGGCCUAUGGGUUGUAAACUUCUUUUCUCAGAGAAGAAUUUUGACGGUAUCUGAGGAAUAAGCAUCGGCUAACUCUGUG